GGGGCUGACCGGCUUUGACAGCAGGUAUAAAUAAGUGUAAGCAUGCAGGGUGUUACAGGAGAAUCACCCUUAAAUAACUCCUCCUGAAAUUUAAGCGACAACUACGCUUACAGAAUGGCGGCUUAAUUCUAGGAAUUAGCCAUUGCCAUUGUCCCUCAGAACCUAAUCUCUGUUGGUUUUGAAUCAGGGGCAUCGUAAAUCAGAGAACCUUCUGAAGUCCGUUGCGGCAGAUGAAAGGGAGUAAAUAGCAACUAAGGGACAGGCAGGUAGGUUUCUGACCAGCUUCUCCCCUACAAUUUACAGAAACCAAGCAUGUAGAAAGCGCUCUAUUUAUCUUGUUUGGACGAGGGUUCGAUUCCCUCCAGCUCCACGA
rnacentral:tmRNA from 2 species